CCAUCGGCCAAAUCCCCUUGAGUUUGAUAUGGCUCAGGACGAACGCUUGCGGCGUGCCUAAGAAAUGCAAGUCGAACGGACAUCUUCGGAUGUUAGUGGCGAACGGUCGCGUAACACGUAGGCAACCUGCCCAAAAGUGGGGGACAACAGCUUGAAAGAGCUGCUAAUACCGCAUGUGGCCCUUUGGUGGCAUCACCAUUGGUCUAAAGCUUUAUGCGCUUUUGGAUGGGCUUGCGGCCUAUCAGGUAGUUGGUGGGGUAAUGGCCUACCAAGCCGACGACGGGUAGCUGGUCUGAGAGGACGAUCAGCCGGAUUGGGACUGAGAUACGGCCCAGACUCCUACGGGGGGCAGCAAUUAGGAAUCUUGCGCAAUGGGGGCAACCCUGACGCAGCGACGCCGCGUGCGGGAUGAAGGCAUUCGUGUCGUAAACCGCUUUUUACGGGGAAGAAGAAUUUGACGGUACCCGUCGAAUAAGCCCCGGCUAACUACGUGCCAGCAGCCGCGGUAAUACGUAGGGGGCGAGCGUUGUCCGAAGUUACUGGGCGUAAAGCGCGCGUAGGCGGUUGCUUAAGUUCGGGGUGAAAGGUUCAACGCUCAACGUGAACAGUGCCUUGAAUACUGGGUGACUUGAGUUCGGGAGAGGGCAGUGGAAUUCCUGGUGUAGCGGUGAAAUGCGUAGAUAUCANGAGGAACACCGAUGGCGAAGGCAGCUGCCUGGCCUAGAACUGACGCUGAGGUGCGAAAGCGUGNGGAGCGAACAGGAUUAGAUACCCU
rnacentral:rRNA from 1 species